rnacentral:rRNA from 1 species
GACGAAGGGGGCUAGCGUUGUUCGGAAUUACUGGGCGUAAAGCGCGUGUAGGCGGUUGUUCAAGUCAGGUGUGAAAGCCUUGAGCUCAACUCAAGAAAUGCACUUGAUACUGGAUGACUAGAGGACCGGAGAGGAUAGUGGAAUUCCAGUGUAGUGGUGAAAUACGUAGAGAUUGGGAAGAACACCAGUGGCGAAGGCGGCUAUCUGGACGACAACUGACGCUGAGGCGCGAAAGCGUGGGGAUCAAACAGG